AUACGGAGGGUGCAAGCGUUAAUCGGAAUUACUGGGCGUAAAGCGCGCGUAGGCGGUUUGUUAAGUCGGAUGUGAAAUCCCCGGGCUCAACCUGGGAACUGCAUUCGAAACUGGCGAGCUAGAGUAUGGUAGAGGAUAGUGGAAUUCCGGGUGUAGCGGUGAAAUGCGUAGAUAUCAGAAGGAAUACCAGUGGCGAAGGCGGCCCCCUGGCCCAAUACUGACGCUGAGGUACGAAAGCGUGGGUAGCGAACGGGAUUAGAAACCCCGGUAGUCC
rnacentral:rRNA from 1 species